CCUGAACAGGAGGAGAUAGGAACGUAAAAUUGCCUUUCAUUCAGCGAGAUUGAUAUUCGUAUGGCCAAGCAUCAUCCCGCAUAUAUUGGUUCACAUAUUUAUUUUUCUCGUAAUAUAUGGGAAAAAACAGAAAACUAACAAUAUUUCCGGCAAAAUUAUAGUAUUCCCUUUAAUCAUUGGUCGGAAUUGUGGUAGAAGUUAAAAUUAUCAAAUUUAAAAAUAUGAUUGUUCUGG